GAUGAUACUACGCGUAAGAACCUGCCCUUGGGAGGGGAACAACAGCUGGAAAUGGCUGCUAAUACCCCAUAGGCUGAGGAGAAAAAGGAGGAAUCCACCCAAGGAGGGGCUCGCGUAUGAUUAGUUAGUUGGUGAGGCAAUGGCUUACCAAGGCGACGAUCAGUAGCUGGUCCGAGAGGAUGAUCAGCCACACUGGGACUGAGACACGGCCCAGACUCCUACGGG
rnacentral:ncRNA from 1 species